UAGGGAAUCUUCGGCAAUGGACGAAAGUCCGACCGAGCAACGCCGCGUGAGUGAAGAAGGUUUUCGGAUCGUAAACUCUGUUGGUAGAGAAGAACGUUGGUGAGAGUGGAAAGCUCAUCAAGUGACGGUAACUACCCAGAAAGGGACGGCUAACUACGUGCCAA
rnacentral:rRNA from 1 species